UCACAAGGCCAUGAUGAUAGGAGCAAAGGAAACAUAUGUAUUACAACUCACAGCAUAGGCAAAAACACCUGAUUGUGCUAAUUCAUUUAUAUAAUGGAAGAAAGAAGACUGACUCUUUUGAUGGUACGAGUCAUGACUUUCUGAGCACAAGAAAGCCUUUGAGUCUCCCACAUUUGCAGCUAUGAUUUGGCCAUCGACUA
rnacentral:misc_RNA from 1 species